rnacentral:lncRNA from 10 species
GUUGGGGACUGUCUAUAUGUGUAUGACAGGUGUAUGCAUGAUUGACAAGUGAAAAUAUCAAACAGCAGUUCCAUAUAUGGAUCUGGAGUUCAGAAGAAAUAUCUGGGGGAAACAGUUUUUUUUUGUAGUUUUUUUCUUAUUCAGCAUUUAUUGUAUGAUGAAUUUCAUGUCAAUACAUUAUUUUUAAAAUAAAGGGGCAUAAAUGACAAAAACAAAAGCCACUGUGAGAUCAAGGAAGAUAUGGACUGAAAAGUUUCCAUGUGCUUUAAAGAGAAGAGAUCUGUUGGUGGUGUAGUAGGAAGAGGCCAGAUUGCAGUGGGUUGAAGAGUGAGUAGGCUGUUGCGAAGUGGAGACAUUAAGCAUUGAAUCUGAAGAAAUUUGGCUGUAAAGACAAAGAAGAAAGGAGUUAUGUGGUAGAAAGUGGCAGGCUGGAGUUAUGCGGCUCACUUUCUAGCCAGAAGGAGGGAGACUGAAUGGAGGCACAUUGAAGAUGCCUGCUUCCUCUUCCACCGUGAUUGGACGUUUCCUGAGGCCUCCUCAGCCAUGUGAA